rnacentral:tmRNA from 1 species
GGGCUUCAAAACCGCCGCGAACCCCCCUAUAUUCGCUGUAGCCGGCCGUAAGGUCGGCACCGGCGAUCAACGGUCUUCGCAAUUAACCAAUCGGACCCGGGGACGGUACCCGGCGCCUCCACCGAAACCCAGGGCUUUUGGACGCAGCGGCGCUGGGCUCCGGCGGGGGCGAGAGGGGAUCGACGAGGGCGGAAGGGUCGAGCGUCCGCUCGGCGCGGGUCCGCCGUUAUCGGGCCCUCGCAGGCGUCGCCGACGACACCUUCGCUCCGGUGGCGGCGGCUGCGCAGGCGGUCCUCAAAACCUUCUUCAAGUCCUAGCGGUUCGCGUCGUAUAGGCGGGGUCAGGAGGCACCUGGUAACAGAAGCCUUCGCG